GUGAGAAUUGAACAAUAAGAACAGUUGGACACAGGGCAGAGAACAUCACACAUCGGGGCCUGUCAUGGGGUGGGGGGAGGGGGGAGGGAUAGCAUUAGGAGAAAUACCUAA